AUCCCCCGACACACAAAGUUUCCCCUUUGGUAAUCAUAAUUUUGGUUUCCACAUCUUUGAUUGUGUUUCUGCUUGGUAAAUAAGUUCUUUUGUAUCAUUUUUAUUAGAUUUCACAAAUUUAGUGAUCUCAUAUGAUAUUUGUCUUUUUCUGCCUGACUUACUUCACUUAGUAUGAUAAUUUCUAAUUCCAUCCAUGUUACUGCAAAUUGAAUUAUUUCAUUCCUUUCUUGGCUAAUAUUCUCUCUCUCUCUAUUUCUCUCUCUAUAUAUAUAUUCCAUAUGCCACAUCUUCAUUAUUCAUUCCUUUGUCAUUGGACAUUUAGGUUGCUUCAAUGACUUGUAUCUUUUCAAAUUAUGGUUUUCUCCAGGUAUAUGCCCGGAAGUGGGAUAUCUGUUUCAUAUGGUAAUUCUAUAUUUAGUUUUUUAAGGAAUCUCCAUAUGUUCUCCAUAGUGGUUGCUCCCAUUUACAUUUCCACCAACAGUAUAGAAGAGUUCCCAGGCUAGGGAUCUAAUCAGAACUACAGCUGCUGGCCUAUACCAGAGCCAUAGCAACACUGGAUUUGAGCCGUGUCUGUGACCUACACCACAGCUCACGGCAAUGCUGGCUCCUUAACCCACUGAGCAAGGGCGGGGAUCAAAACCCCCGUCCUCAUGGAUACUAGUGGGGCUCGUUACCACUGAGGCACAAUGGGAACUCCCUCUGACUGUUUUUUAAUUGUUUUGUUUGUUUGUUUUUUUGAUAUAAAGCUGUAUGUGAUGUUUGUGUGUUUUGGAGAGUAAUCACUUGUUGGUUACUUUGUUUGCAAACAGUUUCUCCCAUUUCUGUGGGUUGUCUUUUUGUUUUGUUUUUAUAGUUUCCUUUGGUGUGCAAAAGCUUUUAAGUUUAAUUAGGUCCCAUUUGUUUAUUUUUGUUUUUAUUGUCAUUACUUUAGAAAGUGGAUCAAAAAAGAUAUUGCUGCAAUUUAUGUCAAAGAGUGUUCUGCCUAUGUUUUCCUCUAAGCUUUUUAUGGUAUCUGGCCUUAGAUUUAGGUCUUUAGUCCAUUUUGUAUUUAUUUUUGUGUAUAGUGUGAGAGGAUGUUCUAAUUUCAUUCUUCUACAUUUUUUAAAAAUUUAAAGUUAAUAUUUUUCAAUUUAAAAAUUAAAACUUUAAAUUAUAAUUUAAAAUUUUAAUUUAAAAAUAUAUUAGUCUUAAAUUAUGCAGGAAACAAGUUUUGGAGUUAUACAUCAAGUGGAUAGUGAUACUAACUUUUAGACUAAUAAUUGUUAUUUCUUUUCUUUAAACGUAUAUUAGCCUAUGAAAUCACAUAGAAAACAGAAGUGCAGUUACAAACCAUUGUUAGGAUAACACUAACCUCUAUAAAUGCCCAUGCAUUUACCUCUACUGGGAUAUUUAUUUCUCCAUACAGCUUCAAGUUACUAUGUACUGUCUUUUCAUUUCACCUUGUGGAACUCCCUUGGUUGAGAACUGAAUGUUUGGAUAUAAUAAUGUAGUUGCUCUGGAAAUCAGAUUUGUCUCUUCCCCAGAGUUUGCUGCUUUUUGUUAUUGUUACUAAUUAUUGUCCAUGGUUUGGUUUGGUUUUGAUUGCCAUAGACUGUCCCUGUGGUGAGAAUUAGUUUGAUAUGUAAUACUAAGGUCUUCGCAGGUCUUUUCUGAUUCUUUCCCUGGGCAUGUCCUUCACUUUCUCAUUUACCCCACUCAUACAGCUGUUUUUGAAUGUCCUUGUUUUUAUCUCUCUUAUUUCUUAGGGCUGCACCCCCGGCAUAUGGAGGUUUCCAGGCUAGAGGUUGAAACAGAGCUGUAGCCGCUGGCCUAUACCACAGCUCACAGCAACGCCAGAUCCUUAACCCACUGAGCGAGGACAUCAAACCUGUGUCCUCAUGGAUGCUAGUCAGAUUCAUUUCUUAUGAGCCAUGAUGGGAACUCCAGGAUGUCCUUGUUUCUAAAUGUCUGUCUCCCAAAA
rnacentral:lncRNA from 1 species